rnacentral:rRNA from 1 species
AACCUACGGGACGCAGCAGUCGAGAAUCAUUCACAAUGGGGGAAACCCUGAUCCAGCGACGCCGCGUGAGUGAAGAAGUAUUUCGGUAUGUAAAGCUCUAUCAGCAGGGAAGAAAGAAAUGACGGUACCUGACUAAGGAGCCCCGGCUAACCACGUGCCAGCAGCCGCGGUAAUACGUAGGGGGCAAGCGUUAUCCGGAUUUACUGGGUGUAAAGGGAGCGUAGACGGCGAUGCAAGUCUGAAGUGAAAUGCGGGGGCCCAACCCCCGGACUGCUUUGGAAACUGUAUGGCUGGAGUGCAGGAGG